rnacentral:rRNA from 1 species
AGGGCACCACCAGGAGUGGAGCCUGCGGCUUAAUUUGACUCAACACGGGAAAACUCACCCGGCCCGGACACUGGAAGGAUUGACAGAUUGAGAGCUCUUUCUUGAUUCAGUGGGUGGUGGUGCAUGGCCGUUCUUAGUUGGUGGAGUGAUUUGUCUGGUUAAUUCCGAUAACGAACGAGACUCUAGCCUACUAAAUAGAUCGUCGGCUUACAAACGCCGGCGAGACUUCUUAGAGGGACAGGCGGUGAUUCAACCGCACGAAACAGAGCAAUAACAGGUCUGUGAUGCCCUUAGAUGUCCGGGGCCGCACGCGCGCUACACUGAAGUGAUCAGCGUGCUUUUUCAACCUACUCUGUCAAGAGUGGGGAACCCAAUGAACCUUCUUCGUGAUUGGGAUAGGGGAUUGUAAUUAUUCCCCUUGAACGAGGAAUUCCCAGUAAGCGCGAGUCAUAAGCUCGCGUUGAUUACGUCCCUGCCCUUUGUACACACGCCCGUCGCUACUACCGAUUGAAUGUUUUA